GGGAGACAGGAAGUGUGAGGAGGUCAUAUCGAUUAAUGCCAUUUCAAAAUGAUAUAUUCAUUUUCUGAAAAUCCAAAUUUUUCAAAUCCACAGUGAAGUUUUUUUUAAAAAACACAUACUUUUUAUGUUUCUACAGUUACUGUUUGGGCUACUUUUCAGCAAUAUAAUCAAAGCAAAGAUUGAAAAAUAAAUACCUAACAAAAAGUGGUUUCUCAUGUCACAAUGCUAAAUUUACUUACUCAAAGUGAAAAUGCUGAUUUCUUUCAAUCUCCUUUAGGAAUUUCUGAUUUAUUGAUACCUCUUUUACUAUUCAAUAACCCAUUUCUCUACAAUGUAAUAAGACCAGGAAUCUCAGUACAUGUGCUUAUAAGACAACACAAGUGUAACUGUCAUGUAUGAGGGCAGAUUUAAAAUAGAAACUGCAACUUGAAGACACAUCAGCUAUCUCCUGAAGCCAGAAGCGCUCUCAUACGCACUGGAACCUCACUGUAAAGCCAGGUGAGAGCCAUCAGACACAGACUUGGUUGCCGCCUUGGGAAGUCUAUUCAAGAAUAAACUAAAGGACCAUUUCUUAUAUCUGAUGGGAUAUAAGUGAAAAAACUCAAUCUCACAAAAAGGACUCAAACAUUACUUGAUGAAAUAAACUUUAAAAUCUCUUCCAGAUAUAUCUAUGACAUGAUACUGAUGACAUUAAUAUUUAAUUUCAUUUA
rnacentral:lncRNA from 1 species